UACUGCUGCAGCAAAGGAGACACCACUUUCAAGAAGGUGGCUUUCCCAAGAUGAGGCUGAUCUAUGUACUCAAGAUGUGCUGAUCCCUUGAAUUUCUUCAACUGUAGGAAAUUUAAAUGCAUACUUUGUGGUAGUGGAGAACUGUCUUCA
rnacentral:snRNA from 1 species